AAUCAAACGGAGGGUUAUUAUCAUUUUUCACUCAGUUUUUAUCAUAAUAAUUUACCAAUAAUUACCUUAGAGCUAAAGGCCAGUUUGGCAAGAAUAGUGUAAGCUAGAGGGUUUGGCAAGAAUAGUGGUGCCCUUUUUUCUCCUUUUCUUCCUUGGUAAGUGACUUUUGGAACAGAUGAAAACAAAAGAUGUGGUGCAACAGAUGGGAUUGCUCCUCCCUUAAUUAGAGGUCUCAGGUUCGAGCCUUGGGUAUGGAGAGAUUCUUGAUAGGGAGCGAUUCCCCUGAAUGGAGCCCUACGCGGCGCGAAACUGGAUAUAGUCGGGUUCCAUUAAUGUUAGUACCAAACACUGGGUGGGAAACAAAAAAAAAAACUAUCAAAAAGAAAUUAAAAAAUAAACUUUUAAAAACGUGCACGGAGUUUUCUCUUUGUUUAAAGCUAAAUUAAAAAUAAAGAGAAAAGUCAAAUGAGUAAUUAAUUUAUUAAUAUUAGUGUACCUGGAGGCUUAUAAAUAGGAUCCUUCUCCACGAAAGAAAUCACCACACAUUACUCUUCUACUAGCUAAAUGUUAAUUAAUUUGCAAAUAUGGCUCAUGUGAACAAGUUUGCUAUCUUCUUCGUUGUUCUCUUGGCCAUGACUAUUGUUGAUAUGCUUGGAACCUCAAAAUUGCAUGUUAUGGGAGGUUGUGGCGAUCGUUGUGAGACCAGUAGUGAUUGUCGUACUGGCUUUACUCUCUGCUUUAUCUGUGCUGAGAAAACGGACCCGUUCGAUAAUUCUAGACGCAAAACAUGUGGCAUCUUGCCAUUCUAAUAUACAUACAUACAUGCUCCAAAAAUGUGGGUGUUUCUUGUUUAAGUAUUGUGUUUGUAUUUGUGUUCUCCUUUAACAAUUAGCUUGGCGUACGUGAAGAAAUAAUAUAUCUGCUAGCAGAUAUGUGUUUUUGUACGUCUUCUAUAUAUUCCCUUCAGCACUAAGUUUACUAGUGUUCCCUUUGUAUGUCUUUUCCCUUCAACACGUUGAAGAAAAAGAAUAUGAAUAAAGUGUGUUAUUAUUAUGGGUUUA